GGUUGCGAUCAUACCAGCACUAGCACCGGAUCCUAUCAGAACUCCGCAGUUAAGCGUGCUUGGGCGAGAAUAGUACUAGGAUGGGUGACCCCCUGGGAAAGUCCUCGUGUUUGCAACCC
rnacentral:rRNA from 1 species